rnacentral:rRNA from 1 species
GUGUCAGCAGCCGCGGUAAUACAGAGAGUGCAAGCGUUAAUCGGAAUUACUGGGCGUAAAGCGCGCGUAGGUGGAUGUUUAAGUCGGAUGUGAAAGCCCUGGGCUUAACCUAGGAAUUGCAUUCGAUACUGGUCGUCUAGAGUAUGGUAGAGGGAAGUGGAAUUUCCGGUGUAGCGGUGAAAUGCGUAGAUAUCGGAAAGAACACCAGUGGCGAAGGCGGCUUCCUGGACCAAUACUGACACUGAAGCGCGAAAGCGUGGGGAGCAAACAGGAUUAGAUACCCUGGUAGUCC